AAAAGUCGUAACAAGGUUUCCGUAGGUGAACCUGCGGAAGGAUCAUUCACAAAAAAGUGUUCAAUGGCACUUUAAAUCCAUUACCCACCUUGUGUGCAUUGUCAGGAGGGAAGAUUUCCCCUUGGGAUUUCUUUCCUCUUUUUCAUUCCACUCUUUCUUAAACAUCAGUCUACAUCAAUUGAGAAUUAAAAAUCUCUAAUACAACUUUCAACAACGGAUCUCUUGGCUCUC
rnacentral:misc_RNA from 1 species